rnacentral:rRNA from 1 species
UACAGAGGGGGCAAGCGUUGUUCGGAAUUACUGGGCGUAAAGGGCGCGUAGGCGGCCUUCUAAGUCGAACGUGAAAUCCCCGGGCUCAACCCGGGAACUGCGUCCGAUACUGGAAGGCUUGAAUCCGGGAGAGGGAUGCGGAAUUCCAGGUGUAGCGGUGAAAUGCGUAGAUAUCUGGAGGAACACCAGCGGCGAAGGCGGCAUCCUGGACUGGUCCUGACACUCAUGAGCGAAAGCGUGGGGAGCGAUCCGG